UCGGUGUGAUCAGAGCAGUUGCCCAUCAGAUAAUUGGUCAGUUGUUUACACCACACCGUACAGCAAGUAUAUUCUGUUAAAUAUAAUGCAACAUUAUAUAAGUGUGGAUGUUGUAAAAGC